AAAGGCCCCUUCGGGGGCCGAGUAGAGUGGCGUCCGGGUGAGUAACACGUAGGUAAUCUACCUCUGGGUGGGGAAUAACGACCGGAAACGGUCGCUAAUACCGCAUAAUGCAGCGGCACCACAUGGUGACAGUUGUUAAAGCGGGGGAUCGCAAGACCUCGCGCCUAGAGAGGAGCCUGCGGCGGAUUAGCUAGUUGGCAGGGUAACGGCCUACCAAGGCGACGAUCCGUAGCCGGCCUGAGAGGGCGGUCGGCCACACUGGCACUGACACACGGGCCAGACUCCUACGGGAGGCAGCAGUCGGGAAUUUUGGGCAAUGGGCGAAAGCCUGACCCAGCAACGCCGCGUGAAGGAUGAAGCUUUUCGGAGUGUAAACUUCAUAAGAAUGGGACGAAUAAGGAGGGGUUAAUACCCCCUUUGAUGACGGUACCAUUUGUAAGCUCCGGCUAACUCCGUGCCAGCAGCCGCGGUAAUACGGGGGGAGCAAGCGUUGUUCGGAUUUACUGGGCGUAAAGGGCGCGUAGGCGGCGCAACAAGUCACUUGUGAAAUCUCCGGGCUUAACCCGGAGCGGCCAAGUGAUACUGUCGUGCUAGAGUGCGGAAGGGGCUACUGGAAUUCUCGGUGUAGCGGUGAAAUGCGUAGAUAUCGAGAGGAACACCUGCGGCGAAGGCGGGUAGCUGGGCCGACACUGACGCUGAUGCGCGAAAGCCAGGGGAGCGAACGGGAUUAGAUACCCCGGUAGUCCUGGCCUUAAACGAUGGAUACUUGGUGUCCGGGGUUACAUAGU
rnacentral:rRNA from 1 species